UAAGAGGAAGAGGGCAGACUGGGCUGGGGUCUGCUAGGCUUACCAGAGGCAAGCUGGGACGGAAUCCCUGGGAGGCGGCGUCCUCCAGGCAAGGAGGGGCGGGGGCAUCGUGGACCGAAGCUUUCGCACGCGGCGGGCUCCGGUCCACUCUAGCAGCAAAGGCGCCCGAGGGAGGCGUGAAUACCAUGGGCUCUUGCUCCGGCCGCUGCACGCUUCUUGCGCUCUGCGCUCUUCAGUUGAUGAGGAACUGGAGACAAGGGGGCAGCCUGACCCAAGAGAGGAACCCUCCAAAGGUCACUGCUGUGGAACGGCAGGUGUUUGACUUCCUGGGCUACCAGUGGGCACCCAUCCUGGCCAACUUCAUCCACAUCAUCGUGGUCAUCUUGGGGCUUUUCGGCACCCUCCAGUAUCGGCCACGCUACAUUGUGGUGUAUGCUGUGUGGGCAGCUGUCUGGGUUACCUGGAAUGUCUUCAUUAUCUGCUUCUACCUGGAAGUGGGGGGCCUCUCGAAGGACAGUGAGCUCUUGACCUUCAAUCUCUCCCGGCACCGCUCCUGGUGGAAAGAGCAUGGGCCAGGCUGUCUUCAUGGAGAGGCAGCCACAGCUGGCCUGGGAGCAGUGCAUGGCCAGUCCUUGGUGGUAGAUGCUGGAUGUGCCACGGUGUACAGCUAUAUGGAAGCCCUGCACAGUGGUCUGCAGAUCCUGCUGGCGCUCCUGGGUUUCGUCUAUGGCUGCUACGUGGUCAGCGUGCUCACAGAAGAAGAAGACAGCUUUGAUUUCAUUGGUGGAUUUGACCCAUUCCCCCUGUACCAUGUCAAUGAAAAGCCGUCCAGCCUCUUGUCCAAGCAGGCAUAUUUAUCACAUUUCCUUCUCUAAAGCAGUACCACGGCCCUACAGAUGCCAUGGCCAUGCCUGGGCUUCCUGGAAGUCUUGGAAUUGAGGCCUGCGUAAGUGAGAGAACAGCUGACCCUGCUCCCGCAACCCAGUUUCAGCCGCCAGAACAAUGAGGAGACUCCAGGCCUGGAGUCACAGCCCCGCUUCCCUGCCCGCCUAGCAUUCUUUCCAAAUUCCCCUUGGAUACCAGUGAGGGGCGGGGCACACUGCAGGCCAGGGUGGCUGCAACUGUGAGUUUGUAAUUUCUCUUUCUUUCUCUCUUCCUUUCUUUUUUUCUUUCUUCCUUCCUUUCUUUUUUUUUCUAAAAAAUAAAAUAGUGAGACAAGACAUGAGAGAAUA